rnacentral:rRNA from 1 species
UAGGGAAUCUUCGGCAAUGGGGGGAACCCUGACCGAGCAACGCCGCGUGAGUGAAGAAGGUUUUCGGAUCGUAAAGCUCUGUUGUUAAGGAAGAACGAGUGUGAGAAUGGAAAGUUCAUACUGUGACGGUACUUAACCAGAAAGGGACGGCUAACUACGUGCCAGCAGCCGCGGUAAUACGUAGGUGGCAAGCGUUGUCCGGAUUUAUUGGGCGUAAAGCGAGCGCAGGCGGUCAAUUAAGUCUGACGUGAAAGCCCCCGGCUCAACCGGGGAGGGUCAUUGGAAACUGGUUGACUUGAGUGCAGAAGAGGAGAGUGGAAUUCCAUGUGUAGCGGUGAAAUGCGUAGAUAUAUGGAGGAACACCAGUGGCGAAGGCGACUCUCUGGUCUGUAACUGACGCUGAGGCUCGAAAGCGUGGGUAGCAAACAGG